UCAAGCGUCAUAAAAUUAUCUAAGAAUACAUGUGAUUAAGCCCUUUUUCUCUCCUCUUUUAAGCUUCUAAAAAAGGAAAAAUAAAUUCUAGUGAAAGAUAUUGUUUAAGCUUAUCAUUAUGUGAGUGUAUUUUCAAUGACAAAAUUCCGAAAUAUAUAACAAAAAACAAUAUGAUUAAUAUUUAGCAUGUUAUGUGGUUAAGUAGAAAAUAUACCACUUAAUUGUACCCCUUAUAAACAUUACAUUAUGAAAAGAGUAUAAAAUAUUAGUAUAAAUGUCAUUUGAUUAUGUCGUUGGGUCUAUAGGCGCUAGAAAAUACAAUUCCUAUAAAACAAACUUUGUAUGUCCAAAAUAUACUCUUCAAACCAAUCUAUCUAUUAUAUAUUAAAAGUAUAUUACGGGUUAACCAGAAAAAAGAGAAUUACCUAGAAAUUACCACAAUAAUCAGAAACAUCCAACCGUCUAUUUUAUAGAGUAAAAAUUUGUAGCCAAUAGAUCUGUUGGAUAAUAAUUGGGUCUUACGUGAAACAAAUUUACCCACCAAUGACAUUAGAUGCGUGUAAACUUCCGAUUAAAAAUAGACAUUAGAGUUGCCCAUGUGUCUCUCAAACCCUAAACGAAUCUAUAUUUUCUACCGUUUGGAUUCCAUGGUUGUGGCAGCCGCCGGCAAUCUCUACGUCAAUCCUCCUUGCAGUUUGGCGUUCUCACGUUGGGUAUCCUUGUAUUCAAGCUAUUCUCGAUGGGCACAUGGCUGGUAGGUACCCGAUUGAAAUCCUCGUCUAAAUUAAAACCUAAUGUAAUUUGCAUGCAUCCUUCUAAUUAUGUUCCGUUUGGAUUGCAUGGUGGUGUUUCAAUUCUUCCAUGCGUGUUCAGGGCUUCAGGCCAGUCACCGCGCUUGAGUUGGUCUCCUGUGUUUUCGGCCGGCCGGCCAGAACACCGCAAAUAAUUUCUCCCGAUCUCAUCUGGCAGGAACACCGUUUCUCCAUGCAUGGUCAGGCGCAUGUCACGGUGGCCUAGCCAAGCAAGGAGCGUGCUACCUAAUCGUGAGGAAUUAAUUUCCAUGUGGUAUGUAAAAAGGCAUCCUCUUUGCACUGCCAACCAUGCUGGGCAUGCCAUGGAUUUCGAGCUCAAAUCACUAGGCAUGGGGCUGCUAGCUACCCGCUUGAGCAUAUCUUCCCAAGCUCUAAAGGAUCAACAACGCCAUGCUCACAUGUAGAACUAACACUGGUGCUGAGCUUUCAGGUACUCAUACUGCAUGCAAAAACAUACAGCCUGGCGGGAUGUGCAGGGAUGUUGGCAUCGGUCGUUGCGCUAGAAUGCCAAUGAUGCAAGGAGGACAAUGAAGCAUUUUUACGAGAGGGACAUAAGCUGCAUAUUCGCUCAAGUACACCUACCUAAGACCUCCAAUAUGCUUAUGGAUUGCUCAUAAAUUUGCAUCUUUGAUAAAGGGUGUCAACAAUAUAUAAUCAAAAAUAUUGUUGUUGGAACUUGGAACAUUCAGAGUGAGAGGCCCCAGGGGGUACCUCCUUUGUGACCAAAAUUUUGAUUUCAUAUAUCAUUAGUUUCUCCAGUCGUUAUUUCCAACAGUUUGAUUUUGCUAGCAUCCUUUGCAAUUGCGCUAUUAUGAUGAAAUCAAUAGCAGCAUGCAUGUCUGCCGGCGGCCAGUGCCUCCAUGAAUCACCACCGCUGCCAGCAGAUUGAGGUUUGUUUCUCCAUCCUCUCAGUCUUACUUAGUGCAUCUAAGAAUCCGAUGAACUGCUGCCAAGUGAACUGACCGGGGGCAGCCAUGAAAGGCUUACUUUCUUAGAAGAAGCUAUCUAGGCAAGAGAUGUCAAGAGAUCGUCAGAUAAACCAAACUGCCGAUCUACUGUUUGUACUGCGUCGGAUAAGAUAAUGGUGAGCCAUCAAUUGGACGGAGUUUAACGUAAAGCUCCUGUUCUGCUUCUGCCCUGGGCGUCCGUUGUCUGAUCUCUUGGUUAUAUGAUUUGCCUAGAUCACGGUUUGCCUAGAUAGAAUAGGAAGCCUUGCUUACUGCAUGUGCAAUGGAGGUACAAAAAAAGUGGAUGCAUGUGUUAUAUAGGUUUUUUGAAAUAUGGGAGGUGUUCAGGUGAUGUACAAAAAAAUCUGCUCAGAUUGCACUAAGUGUGGAUGCAUUUUCUAUCUAGGUAUUAUCAAAUAUGGGAGAUGUUCAGGUGAGAAACUCCAGUGGAUGAUUUGUUUGAUGUAAAUAGGUGAACGAUAGAACACAUGACCCCAGAUAUCACGAUCCAUAUUAUGAGCGUAAGUUCUUUUCAGGAUUUAUGUUGUGCUCAAAUUAGCGCUCAUGCCUGAUGCCAUGCCACCCACCCGAUUUGUGUAGCAAGGACAGUGAUGGCAACUUUGGUUUUCACCUUGCCAUGUGGGAAUUUUUUAUGGGUCACGCUAAAUUGCCGCGUGCAAUUGGGAGUAUAUUUUUGGCGUUUCUUAGUUGUUGGGCAUUUAAUAUUAUUGUAGUUUGAAAAGGCCAUUAGAUAUUAUGUAGUUUUGAAAAUACAGACUUUGGAUCUUCGAGGUGCACACAUAUGGUAUUUUCGGUUUGUGUGUAUUCUCUGCCUUUUAAACUGUUUGGCCAUUAAUAUGGUUGCUCAUCUGCAUGUUCUUCAGCAUAUCAAGUUCAAGUAGAACUGAAUAACUACUCCAAUGUCUUGGGGUGUAUUUAUUAACACAUCAAGUAAUUAACUUCGAGUUUUUUUUGUUAUUAAAUGGUUCACUCAGCCAAGGGGUCUUCCUUUUGUAUGUAUCAUGUUUUUUUCUGGAGAUGAUAGACACCAGCAGCAUAAAAUCAGGAGUAGGAACAAGGUAUUACUCUUAGAUGGCUAGACACAUAUGUUUUGGCGGCAGGAUAGUGAUGUCUAUAUAUCAUGUGCAUGCAUGAUGAUAUCCCCUUUGUGAAGUUGGUAUGCAUAUAGUUUUUCAUGUCUAUUCAUGUUGAUUAAGUUAUAGUUUACUAAUCUUUAUGCCUGUAGGAUGAUGCACAGUUCAACGCUAGCAAGCUCCUGCCUGUUUCUCCUGGCAUCAAGGACCUUCAACAUCAGAUCGAUCAUCGAUAACAAAAGCGUUGAGACCAUAAAUCUUGCUGCUGCUACUUCGUCUGUUUUUUCUACAUACUAUCUAACCCAGACUUUCUGAGUUAGCACAUAAUAACAUCAUAUAGAGAUUUGAUUGGUUGGGGCUUAACCAUGUUGUUGGAAAUCUUAUAUUC